ensembl:lncRNA
CUCUUUGCAAAUCCCCAUUUAAGCGAAAAUCACGCGUUUUCUCUUAGCCAAUCCCCCAUUUAAGCGAAAAUCACGCGUUUUCUCUUCGCAAAUCCCCCAUUUAACCCGAAAAUCACUUGUUUUCUCUUCAAGAAUCCCCCAUUUAAGCGAAAACCACGCGUUUUCUCUUUGCAAAUCCCCCAUUUAAGCGAAAAUCAUGCAUUUUCUCAUUGGAAAUCCCCCAUUUAACCAAAAAUCACGCAUAUUCUCUUUGCAAAUCCCCCAUUUAAGAGAAAAUCACGCGUUUUCCCUUUGCAAAUCCCCCAUUUAAGCGAAAAUCACGCGUUUUCUCUUCGCAAAUCCCCCAUUUAAGCGAAAAUCACGCGUUUUCUCUUCAGAAAUCCCACAUUUAAGCGAAAAUCUCGCGUUUUCUCUUCGCAAAUCCCCAAUUUAACCCGAAAAUCACGUGUUUUCUCUUCGCAAAUCCCCCAUUUAACCCGAAAAUCUCGCGUUUUCUCUUUGCAAAUCCCGUAUUCAACCGAAAAUCACGCAUUUUCUCUUCGCAAAUCCCCCAUUUAAGCGAAAAUCACGCGUUUUCUCUUCGCAAAUCCGCCAUUUAUCCGAAAAUCACGCGUUUUCUCUUCGCAAAUCCCCCAUUUAACCCGAAAAUCACGCGUUUUCUCUUUGCAAAUCCCCCAUUUAAGCGAAAAUCACGCGUUUUCUCCUCGCAAAUCCCCCAUUUAAGCGAAAAUCUCGCGUUUUCUCUUCGCAAAUCCCACAUUUAAGCGAAAAUCACGCGUUUUCUCUUCGAGAAAUCAACAUUUAACGAAAAUCACGCGUUUUCUCAAAUCCCCCAUUUAAGCAAAAAUCACACGUUUUCCCUUCGCAAAAAACACAUUUAUGCGAAAUCACGUUUUCUCUUCGAGAAUCCUCCAUUUAACGUGUAAAUGACACGUUUUCUCUUUCAAGUCCCCCAUUUAAGCGAAAAUCACGCGUUUUCUCUUCGCAAAUCCCCCAUUUAAGCGAAAAUCACACGUUUUCUCUUUGCAAAUCCCCCAUUUAACCAGAAAACCAAGCAUUUUCUCUUCGAGAAUCCCCCAUUUAACCCGAAAAUCAUGUGUUUUCUCAAAUCCCCCAUUUAAGCGAAAAUCACGCGAUUUCUCUUCGCAAAUCCCCCAAUUAACCCAAAAAACCACGAGUUUUCUCUUCCGAAAUCCCCCAUUUAACCAGAAAUCACACGUUUUCCCUUCGCAAAACCCCCAUUUAAGCGAAAA